rnacentral:rRNA from 1 species
GAUGAACGCUGGCGGCGUGCCUAAUACAUGCAAGUCGAGCGAACAGACGAGGAGCUUGCUCCUCUGACGUUAGCGGCGGACGCGUGAGUAACACGUGGAUAACCUACCUAUAAGACUGGGAUAACUUCGGGAAACCGGAGCUAAUACCGGAUAAUAUAUUGAACCGCAUGGUUCAAUAGUGAAAGACGGUUUUGCUGUCACUUAUAGAUGGAUCCGCGCCGCAUUAGCUAGUUGGUAAGGUAACGGCUUACCAAGGCAACGAUGCGUAGCCGACCUGAGAGGGUGAUCGGCCACACUGGAACUGAGACACGGUCCAGACUCCUACGGGAGGCAGCAGUAGGGAAUCUUCCGCAAUGGGCGAAAGCCUGACGGAGCAACGCCGCGUGAGUGAUGAAGGUCUUCGGAUCGUAAAACUCUGUUAUUAGGGAAGAACAAAUGUGUAAGUAACUAUGCACGUCUUGACGGUACCUAAUCAGAAAGCCACGGCUAACUACGU